ACAUGCCUACAACAUAGCAGUAACACAGUGGAUCCCAUUAGAACUCCGCAGUUAAGCGCGCUCAGGCUAGAGUAGUACUGGAAUGGGUGACCACCUGGGAAGUCCUAGUGUUUUACAUGCU
rnacentral:rRNA from 1 species